rnacentral:rRNA from 1 species
UACAGAGGUCCCAAGCGUUGUUCGGAUUCACUGGGCGUAAAGGGUGCGUAGGCGGUCGGGUAAGUCUGACGUGAAAUUUUCAAGCUCAACCGGGGAACUGCGUCUGAGACUGGAAGGCUUGAAUCCGGGAGAGGGAUGUGGAAUUCCAGGUGUAGCGGUGAAAUGCGUAGAUAUCUGGAGGAACACCGGUGGCGAAGGCGGCAUCCUGGACCGGUAUUGACGCUGAGGCGCGAAAGCCAGGGGAGCAAACGGG